GACGAACGCUGACGGCGUGCUUAACACAUGCAAGUCGAAGGGAGUGGCGAACGGGUGAGUAACUCGUGAGUAACCUGCUCUUUUCUUUGUGAUAAGACUGGGAAACUGGGUCUAAUACUGGAUGGUAUGGGAUGGGCUCGCGGCUUCUCAGCUUGUUGGUGGGGGGAUGGCGUACCAAGGCUUGGACGGGUAGCCGGGCUGAGAGGGUGGGCGGUACCAGUGGGACUGAGAUGCGGCCUGUACUAGUCAGGGGGGCAGCAGUGGGGGAUAUUGAAGAAUGGAUGCACGGCUGAUGCAGCGACGUUGGGUGGGGGAUGAAGGCUGUGGGGUUGUAAACUCCUUGCGGCCGCGGAAUGGUAGUGGGAGAAGAAGCGCCGGCUAACUACGUGCCAGCAGCCGCGGUAAUAC
rnacentral:rRNA from 1 species